GGAUAACAUGCCCUUUGGGACCGGGCGUAACCCCGGGAAACUGGGGAUAAUUCCGGAUAACGCAUAUUUGCUGGAAUGCUUUAUGCGUCAAAAGGAUUCGUCUGCCCAAGGAUGGGUCUGCGGCCUAUCAGGUAGUAGUGGGUGUAAUGUACCUACUAGCCAGCGACGGGUACGGGUUGUGAGAGCAAGAGCCCGGAGAUGGAUUCUGAGACAUGAAUCCAGGCCCUACGGGGCGCAGCAGGCGCGAAAACUUUACAAUGCGGGAAACCGUGAUAAGGGGACACCGAGUGCCAGCAUCAUAUGCUGGCUGUCCGGAUGUGUAAAAUACAUCCGUUAGCAAGGGCCGGGCAAGACCGGUGCCAGCCGCCGCGGUAACACCGGCGGCCCGAGUGGUGAUCGUGAUUAUUGGGUCUAAAGGGUCCGUAGCCGGUUUGGUCAGUCCUCCGGGAAAUCUGAUAGCUCAACUAUUAGGCUUUCGGGGGAUACUGCCAGACUUGGAACCGGGAGAGGUAAGAGGUACUACAGGGGUAGGAGUGAAAUCUUGUAAUCCCUGUGGGACCACCUGUGGCGAAGGCGUCUUACCAGAACGGGUUCGACGGUGAGGGACGAAAGCUGGGGGCACGAACCGGAUUAGAUACCCGGGUAGUCCCAGCCGUAAACGAUGCUCGCUAGGUGUCAGGCAUGGCGCGACCGUGUCUGGUGCCGCAGGGAAGCCGUGAAGCGAGCCACCUGGGAAGUACGGCCGCAAGGCUGAAACUUAA
rnacentral:rRNA from 1 species